rnacentral:rRNA from 1 species
AUCUAAGUACCCCGAGGAAAAGAAAUCAACCGAGAUUCCCCCAGUAGCGGCGAGCGAACGGGGAGGAGCCCAGAGCCUGAAUCAGCAUGUGUGUUAGUGGAAGCGUCUGGAAAGGCGCGCGAUACAGGGUGAGAGCCCCGUACACAAAAGCGCAUAUGCUGUGAGCUCGAUGAGUAGGGCGGGACACGUGGUAUCCUGUCUGAAUAUGGGGGGACCAUCCUCCAAGGCUAAAUACUCCUGACUGACCGAUAGUGAACCAGUACCGUGAGGGAAAGGCGAAAAGAACCCCGGCGAGGGGAGUGAAACAGAACCUGAAACCGUG